UUCGGAGAAGCGUUAACACUUGUUCUGUGACGAUUCUGAGUGCCGAGGUGAAUGUUUAUAUAUAAGUUUGUUAAAUCCAGCAUAAGGUUAUUUUGGAUUCAUUUUCUCUCUCCCAAUAUUGGCAGAAAAGAAAAAAAAAAGAUUAAUGAAGAAUCUCCCAAGGAAAACUUUUAAGAAUAAAGUUCAAGGGUCUUGCAGAUGAAAUGAUUUUGUUCUCCAGAACAUCUGUUCCAUUGGGUUUAUUGGCGCAAGAGCCUUAGUAGCCUAUAAAGCGUUCGGCUCUGGGAGAUUACAAAAAGCCUGGAGCCGAAAAGCCUCUUCAAAUGAAGCAAUAGUUUCUGCCUAAAAAAAAGUAGUGCUUAUCAUGUCAUUAACAACUUUGAGAUUUUGAUAGCACUACUUUUUAAUUGUUAAGAAGCUGUGAUUUGAAUGUAUUCGAGCAGCCAAGGCUUUUAUCGCCCCGGACAGUUUCCUGUACACAGGGUUCAAGCUGGGUUCAAAAGUUCUUUGGCAUAAAAGCAAAAUUUGUGGGAAAAGUUUUAGCAAAAUGCUAAAAUGUUACGUAUUCUCAUAUCUUUCUAAAUGUCUCAGUGUGUUUCAUCUCCACUUGAAAAUAAAAUUCCUAUUUCAUCUCUAUGGCAUCCUUGAAUUUAGUAAUUUUUGAAUCUUGACUUAAGAUUUAAAAAAGAUUCAGUUUACCAUCGUCAUGCUGCUUCCUCUCUUGGAUGAUACAUUGUUGCUUUUUUUUU